rnacentral:lncRNA from 1 species
GGCCUUUGUCUCAGGCUUCCUGACCUCCUUGCAACCCCCCUUGCGGCACAGCCUUCCACAAAGGCUACUAUCCCACCUACUGAUGUAUAUGCUCACAAGGGAGGACUAAAUACCGGUAUAUAUGGCAGUUUAGCAUCCUAUGCACACGUGUUUUUCACAUCAUCUGCACAGCAUUGUUCUCAUCCAGGCGGCAGCCCAAGCCCAACCCCCAUAUUUAAUUCGGAUUUUCCUGAUCCUGAGGGGACGCGGGUGGCGCUGUGGGUUAAACCACAGAGCCUAGGAUUGCCAAUCAGAAGGUCGGAGGUUCGAAUCCCCUCGACGGGGUGAGCUCCCAUUGCUCGGUCCCAACUCCUGCCAACCUAGCAGUUCAAAAGCACAUCAAAAGUAGAUAAAUAGGUACUGCUCCGGCAGGAAGGUAAACGGCGUUUCCGUGCGCUGCUCUGGUUUGCCAGAAGCGGCUUAGUUAUGCUGGCCACAUGACCUGGAAGCUGAACACCGGCUCCCUCGGCCAAUAAAACGAGAUGAGCGCCGCAACCCCAGAGUCAGUCACGACUGGACCUAACGGUCAGGGGUCCCUUCACCUUUUACCUUCCUGAUCCCCAGUGGGGCUUAUCCAUACCUCUGUUUGCCCCUCGCUUCCCCCAGGGGAAUCAGGACAAACAGCAAUCAGCCCUCAAUGUGGUAAUAGGGGGAAAUCCAACAUAAAUCACAUACUACCCAACUAUGAGGGUAUUGAAGUUCAUUUUGUAGGUGGGUUUUGGUUCUACCUGUGCGCUGUGCGGUAAUGUUUUGCUAGGUGCCAUCUAUCACCACAUCCCCUAGUUCUGUUGGCCAGGCACUCCUCUGUGGACCGGUCACAGGCUACACAAUUAAGACAAAAACAAAAACCUGCUUUGUGCAAGUCUGGUAUAUUGGAACACUUGUUUGGCACACACCCUGCUUGGCACACACUCCACACACAUUUGCAUACACAUGUACACAGGCAGGGAGCCUCAAUGUCGACCUUCUGGAGGCUUCACCCGGGGCAAAAAAACCAGCUAGCCCCUCCCUCUCCAGCUAUGGCACUGCCUAAAGGUACAUAUCUUAUGUGACAUCUCUCAUUGCCUUUGCCUUUACUUCAAAGUAGCUGCCAGAGAAGGGCCACAAUUUGAUCAAGGAAGUGGUGCUGGGGAGAGGGAGGGGAGCAAAGAAACCUAUGCCAGGUCCCCAGUCUGAAUUGUCUCACAGAGGUUGCUAUUAGCCCUGCUCAAAAAGGAAUACCACAGUUGAGUAGCUUUGGGGUAACAAUUUUACAAGAACUCCAGAAACCACCUUAUGCGAUUGGUCUGCCUACCUCAGUAUUGUCAAUGCUGACUGGCUGUAGCUUUCCAGGGAUUUUGUCUGGAGUCUUUCCCAACCCUGUGUGGAGGUGCCAGGAACAGAACCCUGGACCUUUUGCCUGCAAAGCCUGUGAAUUUUUAACUUUGUUGUAACAGGUUGAACACCAUCUUCUGUUAAGACUUGUUCCAUCUAACUCCUUGCUUUAAGGAGACGAACAGAGAGGAAUCAGUGUUAUAUGGUAAUCUUCUUUCUAAUAAUGUACAAGCAGCUUGGCCAUUUGGUUUUGUUUUUAGGCAGAUGCAGAGAUGUGGGGCCUCUAGAACUUUUUAUAGGUUUAUAAACAAAUAAGUCAGAUGGAAAUUAUGGCCAGUGACGCAGUCACCAUCUGGAUUGUAUUAACUAUGGUUAGCCUCUCCCACAUAUAUAAAUGUAUGGUCUGGGAAAUAGGGUUGCCAUAUUUCAAAAAGUAAAAUUCCUAACACCCACAAAUUUAUUGAGCUUUUUUUGGGUGAUUUUAAGCUCACAUCGGCCCCAGCCAGCAUGACCGGUGGUUUGAGGUGUUUGGAGUAGUUUGAAGUGUGGUAGUCCCUAUCUAUAAGAAGGGAGACAUUCAAGAUCCAGCAAACUACCGCCCUAUAAGCCUUCUGGACAUCGCAUACAAACUUUAUACCCGGUACCUAUUAAACAAGCUGGUAGAUUGGGCGGACCAUUCUAACCUGUUCAACCAGGAACAGGCAGGAUUUAGAAAGGGCCACAAUACGAUAGGUCACUGUAUGGUACUACAGACCCUGGUAGCUAAAUAUGUAAAAGCGUAUAAGAGCAGACUCUUUGUGGCCUUCGUAGACUUGACAUCUGCCUUCGACUCAAUCUGUAGAGAUAGACUAUGGAAAAAAUUAUAUGAAACGGACAUUGACAGACGACUUUUAAAAAUUCUCAGAGAGUUACAUACAGACAUUACAGUCAAAAUCAGAACUGGGCCAUCGGGAACUCUUACGGACCCACUGCCAUUGGGAAAGGGGUCAAACAGGGAUGCCUGCUAGCCCCAUUUCUUUUCAACUUUUAUAUAAACGACAUUGUCCAGUACAUGGCAAAGUACAAGUCAUCGGCUCCAGCCCUUGAAGGUAAACGCCUGAAUAUUUUGCUAUAUGCAGAUGACAUGGUUUUAAUGGCACUCACCCGAAGAGGCUUACGCAGCAUGCUGGAGGGGAUCGCAGCCUACUGUUCCCAUAAUUCACUAAAGAUAAACCAUGAUAAAACAAAAAUUGUGGUGUUUACUAGAGCUCGCCACACCUUUAGAUGGUCUUUAGAUGAACAAGUGAUUGAACAGUGCCCUUUUUUAAAUAUCUGGGUGUUACAUUCCAGGCUACAUCUAGCUGGCUAGCCCACUUUAAGGCUGUAACCAUCCUAACACGAAGAACAAUUGGUGUUUUGCUUAGUUUCUUCCAUACCAGGGGAGGACAAUUGGUGAUCCUGGCAUUAAGAGCUUUCGUUGGGAAAGCUAUUCCCCAGAUGUUAUAUGGGAUAGAACUCUGGGGGUGGAACCAGAGGCUGUUGGAACGGCUUGAAAUUUUGCAAAACUACUAUCUCAAGAAGAUUCUAGGCCUUCCUCAAGGAACCCCAGCAGCCUUCUUGAGGGUGGAGGUUGGUUUACCCUCUGUGUCUGCCAGGGCCCACUUAAGAUUCCUACGAUUCUACAUCAACCUUGCAAACUCUCCAAACACCUUAUUGGCCAAACAAGCCUUCGUAUCUUUUCAAAAGAAUACCACUUGGCGCCAAAACUUAUCUGAGAUCCUGGUUAGAUACACCCUACCGGAGUUUAAUAUCCUCAAACGGUGGAGCCCGGACAAAGUCCGGAAAUGGAUCCUGGAGAGAGACGCUCUGUUAGAUACCACAAAAAUACAGAUCCCAGGGUCCUCCCACUGGCUUCCCCGACUGAAAGCAGUCAAAAUCUGCGCCAACUACUUGGCGAAUAUCACCAAUCCCACUCUUCGGAGAGCCUUUACUAUGGCCCGUUUUCAAACCAUUCCUACGGCCUAUCUGUCAGGCAGAUAUGCAAAAAUCCCAGUAGAGCAGCGGAUAUGUUCUUGUUAUAUGAGAACCAAAGAGGAUCUCAUACAUUACAUGUUGUAUUGUCCCAUCUAUUCGGCCUUCAGGGAUGCGAUGUUACAAACUAUUCCUAAAUCAAUAGUCAACUCUGAGGACCAAGUAAAGUUUUUACUGGUAGACGCUGAUCCACGGAUUUCUCACGUGGUAGCGGUCUUUGUGGUGAAGGCUAUGAAAACUAGGGUAUGGUUCCUGGAUGAAACGGUGAGGUCCCUCCCAUUGCUCUCCUAACCUGUUGCUGUACCUUCUUCCUUGAAUGGUGGGGUUUUUGGGUAGUUUCCUUGCUGGGACAACAUGGCAUGAAUUUUAGCUUACUUUUAUAAUCUUUUUGGUUUAUCUUUUAAUAAUGUUUUAUGGUAUUUUGUGUAAAGGCAUGGACCUCACAAAUUUAAUAAAUUUGUUGUUGUUGUUGUUUGGAGUAGUGGUUCAACAAAAUCUGGAGGGGCAUAGAUUGAUCAUCCUGAUAGGUAAAAGAACAAAAUUUAUUAGAGAACAGGAAAAAUGACCUUGUAUGUUUCUAAUUACAUGUAUGGGAGGGAAGAGAAAAAGAAAUAAACUGCCACAUCCCAUGCAUGCUUCGCCCAGAAGGGGAGGAGAAAACACAGCACAGAAAAUCCAAAAACAGCAUAAAAAAGCAGACAUUUUCCCCAGUAUCCUGGGAAAAAACACUACAGGCCAUUAACUGGGGACCACGCUGGCAACCACACCCAUCUGCCACCCACAUACAGAGGCAAGCAACUGAAAAAAACUGAGCACGUGGCCCCUGCGCAUACACCUGCACCAAUGGAAACACAAUGCACACAAUGCCACAGUGGGAACCACAAUUCCCAUUCCAUCAGCCGCAGUGGCGUAGUUUCUAGUGUGGCCAGUCUCCAGACACCUCUCAUGCAAGGAUUCGGUUUCAUUAAAGCUUUUCCUGAGCACUGUUUUCUGAGUGCAACACUGUGUGGCUGUGGACACGCUACCAUUUAGUCUAGCUUCAGUGAGCUCCCAUCUCGUGUUUGUAGCGGUGAAAAAUAAAUAAAUAAAUACACAUGACUUUAGCCACAAUCCAUAUCUAUCCUAUACAGUAGUUGCUUGACAAAUACUGCUGUUUCAUGCAUUCUCUCCAUCUGAUUUAAAAAGGUAAGCCAACAUGUUCCUGUCACAAUUAAGCUGAGAUGUGUAUGUUUGAGACAGCCGCUGCAUAUGCACAGAUGCCAGCUUCAAAAACGGGGUGUGGGACACAACCGUGCUGUGUUUUAAGCUGCUAGUGUGCAUAUAGCCUCAAAGGGGAGGAAGAACAGGCAACACAAUACAAAGCAUGAGCUUCAGCCCCACUAGGGAGGUGGUGGCAAAUAUGGCCUCAAUUUGCCUUUUGCAUGUAUAGCAAGAAAGAAAAAGCCACCUCAUUGUAACCCACUAUCAUCCAUAUGGUACCUUGGUUUGCAUAUAUAUUGGUUUGCAUAUGUUUUGGAUUACAAACACGUCAAACCCGGAAGUGUGUGUCCCGGUUUGCAACUUUUUUUGGAUUACAACCCAUUUUUUGGGGAUUAUGAACAAAUUUGUUUGGAGGCCCCAUUGGCGAAAGCGCACCUUGGGUUACAAAUGCACCUCUGGAACGGAUUAUGGUUGUAAACCAAGGUACUACUAUAUAUACAUACAGGGGAAAUGAUAUUAUUAUAAAGCAGUUAUGUAACUCAAGUGAUGGCAGUAACUCAGUACAUUUUAACCAUCUCUUUGCAAUUACAUUAGAGCAACAAACCCAUUCUGUGUAUUACAAAUAUCUUCUUGAUUGCCUUAAGGAUGCACAGAACGAAAAAGGAACAGUAGUGGAAUCGGAAGGCCACCUACCCUGACAUGCUACAUGCUGACCUUGCUCCAACAGCUACCUCUAGGAAGAGAAGAGGGAAGGCGAAUUGCUACACCUUAUGUAGGUAAGUGCAUUUUCAGUUCUGCUUCUACCAUCUGUAGUAUACAUUUAAAAUAGCAUCAUACCAUUUUAAACACUUUCUUCCAUAUAAUCCUGGGAACUGUAGUCUGUUAAGGGUGCUGAGAGUUGCUAGGAGACCUCUUUCCCCCUGCACAGAGAUUUUCCAGAGUGGUUUAACAAUCAAUUCCUCUUCCAAGGGAACUCUGGGAAUUGUAGCUCUGUAAGGGAAAUAAGGAUCUCCUUACAACCCUCUGCACCUUUAACAAACUAUACUUCCCAGGAUUCUUCAGGGGGAAGCCAUGACUGUUUAAAGUGGUAUGGUACCAACUGAAAUCUAUGGUGCAGAUGGGGCCUUAGAAACAUGAACAGCAUUAUGGAUAAAACAUCCUGCCGGGUGUGUGGAAUAGCCCAUGUUUUACAUGCAGAGGGACCUACCAACACAAGAAAGGGACGAGUUAAGAGAAAUACUGUAUGCAGUAGUAGUUUGGCUUCUGUACAGGCGCUAACCAGUCCUUUUGGCCUUCCUUCCGCUCACCCUGUUUUGCCUGACAGACCAGUCCUGUGAGUUAGCCACUGGACAUGCCUUGUCCUGCUCCUUCCUUAUCUCUUCCUUCCUGCCCCUUCCUCGCAAGUGACUGCCUCAUUUGCCCUUCACAGCAACACCCAUUUCAUCUGUGAACCCCGAGACACCAUCCCUCCUUGCAGUCCUGAGUGAGCAAACAAUUAAGGGGCCGCUGCCAUUCAACAUGAGGGCAGUCGCCACUAAAACUGACAAGUAUUCUAUGAAGGAAUUUCUGCUAACGCUGAAAUACAUAUGGUGCGCUCAUGAACAGCAUGGUAUAAAAACCGGAUGCACAU